rnacentral:rRNA from 1 species
CCUACGGGAGGCAGCAGUGAGGAAUAUUGGUCAAUGGGCGCGAGCCUGAACCAGCCAAGUAGCGUGAAGGAUGACUGCCCUACGGGCUGUAAACUUCUUUUAUAAAGGAAUAAAGUGAGGCACGUGUGCCUUUUUGUAUGUACUUUAUGAUUAAGGAUCGGCUAACUCCGUGCCAGCAGCCGCGGUAAUACGGAGGAUCCGAGCGUUAUCCGGGUUUAUUGGGUUUAAAGGUAGCGUAGAUGGGUUGUUAAGUCAGUGGGGAAAGUUUGCGGCUCAAACGUAAGAUUGCAAUUGAUACUGGCAGUCUUGAGUACAGUUGGGGUAGGCGGAAUUCGUGGUGUAGCGGUGAAAUGCUUAGAUAUCACGAAGAACUCCGAUUGCGAAGGCAGCUUACUAGACUGCCACUGACAUUGAUGCUCGAAAGUGUGGGUAUCAAACAGGAUUAGAUACCCCAGUAGUC